AGGAUACUGCUAUUCGGAUUCGAUUAAGACAUGCAAGGCGAGAGUCUUCGGGACUCGCCGAACUGCUCAGUAAUAUAUGGUUAACUUACCCUAGAGUCAGGGAUAAUCUCGGGAAAGGUUAAUAUCAUAAUGUUGUGAUUAACCCCCGAAACUGAGGCUAAUACCUGAUAGAAAUUUCGUUCUGGAAUGAUGAAAUUUCUAAAGUUCCGACGCUCUAGGAUAGGACCAUAUCUCAUCAGCCUGUUGGGGGUGUAACGAACCCUCAAAGCUAUUACGAGUACGAGCCAUGAGAGUGGAAGCUCGGAGAUGGAUUCUGAGACAUGAAUCCAGGUCCUACGGGACGCAGCAGUUACGAAACCUUUGCGAUGUGUGAAAGCAUGACAAGGGGAUCCGAAGUGCUACCGCUUGCUGUAGCUUUUGUCAAGUUCAAAUAGCUUGACGAAUAAGGGGUGGGCAAGACGGGUGCCAGCCGCCACGGUAAUACCCGCGCCCCAAGUGGUAUCCACUAUUACUGGGUCUAAAGCAUCCGUAGCCGGUUUUGUUAGUCUUCCGUGAAAUUCACCGGUAAACUGGUGAGCCUGCGGGAGAUACUGCAAAACUUGGAACCGGGAGAGGAGAGUGGUACUGCCAGGGGAGGGGUAAAAUCCUAUAAUCCUGGUGGGACCACCGGUGGCGAAGGCGACUCUCUAGAACAGAUUCGACGGUGAGGGAUGAAAGCUAGGGGAGCAAACGGGAUUAGAUACCCCGGUAGUCCUAGCCGUAAACGAUGCCCGUUUGGUGUUACAGGCCUCACGUGGGCUUGUAGUGCCGUAGUGUAGAUGUUAAACGGGCCACCUGGGGAGAAAGGUUUGUGUCGACUAUCCUAUUAUAAAAAUGGUACAACCUUCCCCAAUACGACCGCAAGGUUGAAAGAAAAGGUGACCCAAAUGGUAGGCAAAAAGAAUCUAAUUGAGAUCACAAAUAAUACUAAAAAUAUAUUAAAAGAAUAAGGUAGACUGUUAUUUUUAAAAUAGUCACCUUUUCCAACUAACUUAAGGGAAUUGGCGGGAGAGCACACAAGGAGUGGAGGCUGCGGUUUAAUUGGAUCCAACGCCGGAAAUCUUACGGGGAUCGACAGCAGAAUGAAGGUCAGUCUGAAGGGCUUACCAGACAAGCUGAGAGGUGUUGCAUGGCCAUCGUCAGCUCGUACCGUGAGGCGUGCGGUUAAGUCCGUUAACGAGCGAGACCCACGUCCUAUGUUGCUAAUCCGAGAGGAUGCACUCAUAGGAGACCGCUGGUGAUAAACCAGAGGAGGGUGUGGGCUACGGUAGGUCUGUAUGGCCCGAAUUUCCCCGGCUACACGCGGCCUACAAUGUAUAAGACAAUGGGAUGCAACUCUGAAAGGAGAAGCCAAACCCCAAACUUAUACUUGGUACGGAUCGAGGAUUGUAACUCAUCCUCGUGAAGCUGGAAUUCCUAGUAGACGAACGUCACUAUCGUUCGUCGAAUCUGUCCCUGCUCU
rnacentral:rRNA from 1 species